rnacentral:rRNA from 1 species
GUGUCAGCCGCCGCGGUAAGACAGAGGGUGCAAACGUUGUUCGGAAUUACUGGGCAUAAAGAGCACGUAGGUGGUGCGCUAAGUCACGUGUGAAAUCCCCCGGCUCAACCGGGGAAUUGCGCGUGAUACUGGCGGACUCGAGGCAGGUAGGGGUGAGUGGAACUCCAGGUGGAGCGGUGAAAUGCGUAGAUAUCUGGAGGAACACCGGUGGCGAAAGCGGCUCACUGGACCUGAUCUGACACUGAGGUGCGAAAGCUAGGGUAGCAAACGGGAUUAGAUACCCCCGUAGUCC